GAAAACGCAGCAGCGACGACAACGACAAAGAGCCUAGAAAAGGGGGAGACGGACCGCUUUCUUCCUCUGCUGCUGCUCCUCCUCGGCGGCCGAGCGCAGAGAAUUCGAGGCAAUGCGACCCUUCCCUCCUCAGCGGAAGUCAUAGCUGAUGGCGCCGAGGCGCAAGAAGUGGACGGAGGAGGAGGAGCGUUCACUCCUCGACAAGUACGCCGAGAUGGCGGCCGACGGAUCCAUCUCGCGCCUACGCACCCGGGAGCGCCGAUUCCGGCCCAUCGCCGCCCACGUCAACGCCGCUCACCACGCCGCCGACCCUGCCGCCUACCCCUUCCUCUGGUCCUGGAAGGACGCCGCCAACAAGGUCCACAACAUGCGCCACCAGUACCUCCUCGUCAAGCGCAAGCUACUCCUCCUCAACCCUCCCCCUACCUCAUCCUCAUCCUCCGCCGUCGCCGCCACUGCCGCCGUCGAUUGGGACGAGCAAGGCCUCUCCCGCUGGUCCAACUUCCUCCGCUACCGCUCCGUCUUCGGCGACGCCCCCUUGCCCUUGACCGACCCCGCCCCUGCUCCCGGGGAAGCUUUCGACAACGAUGGCGAGCUCGCCCUAGGGUUAGCCUUCGACGACUGCGCUGAAGGCGGAAGCGGAGAAGGAGCCGAUCAGGACGUCGGCGAUGACGAGGGUUUUGAUUUCGAUGAUGUGGCCCCUGUCGCAGGCUCUGUGCCACAGCAGCCCGCGCGACCUCUGGCGGUGAAUAUGGGAAGGAUGAAGCGGAGGAAGAAGACGCGGGCUGAGCGGCGGCGAGCACUGGCGGCUUGGAAGGAGUGGGAGGCAAAGAUGGAGGACAGGGAGGCUCAGUGGGAGAGAGCGAGGUUAGAAAGGGAACGGGCAGAGGUGGAGGCGGAGAAGGAGAGGGAGCAGGAAAGGAGACAGGUGCAAAGACAGCGGAGGGAGGAGGAGAUAGAGUGGGAGGAGCGUAUGGAGGGGAGGAGAGCGGAGUGGAGGAAGCGGAUGGAGGGGAUGCUGAGGGAGCACCGAGUUGAGAUGGAGCAGAUUCAGGCAAGGAUCAUUCACGAGCAGCAGAGCGUGGUUGGGCAGCUUCUGGGAGUGCUAUCACAAUGGGCGGCGAGCCCUGUUUUUGGAGGGCUCUCAGAUGCCACUGGUGGUGGCACUGCUUUGGGACAACACCAUCACCACCAACAUCAGCCACACCACCAGGCUGUACCCUAUCUGUCUCAGAUGGUGCAUGGGUUGCACCAUGUGAAUGGUAUCGUUCCAGGAGAGAAUCGGGUUGAUGGGGAUGGACAUGAGGAUCAUUUCAUCGUUGAUGAUUGACUAAAAUUAGGGCUUCGGAUCUCUUUAUAUGAAUGGAGGUUGUAAACGGAUCACUCAGAUACAGAAUUGUGUUGGCAGGCACAUGCAGGAGAACAAGUAUCGAGAAUUAAUUAUCAGAGUUGGAAAUUUGUAAAUGGCUUCAUGCUGGACUGGAGAUAUUAUAGGUGGAUCUUGAUGCGUACUAGGUCUGUCUGAUCAUCAUUCUUUCUAUUCUCAGCUGUAAGAUUUUGAACACGGGAUGAGCAUCUCGUUGUGCUGGCACCAGGUUUGUUAUUGAUCCUCAAAAGAUGUUUCCUACCAGUAGCAUAAGUUCACCAGUCCUCAUCUGAUUACUUGUAUGUUUUUGACCUGUGACUUGUGUGCAAGUAUAGUUAGGCAUUUUUCUCUCAAAUUGUUCUCUUCUUGUUGACGGCAUCUCUGUAUUGCUACCUCCUGCUUAUGGUAGUCGGCUAGCAGUGAAAAAUACAAGCAUGUAUCUCAACUGAAGGGACAUGCUUAUUUUAGACAUUGUUUUUCACAUCCUCAAGCAAGCAACUUACAUGUAGCAAGUACAUGCAAAGGAUUAUGAACAUGUAUAUGAACAUUGUUCAAUAUUCAUUAACAACAUGACAAUGUAUAUGUUCAUAUUUCUCACUCUACAAGAUUUCACAUAUAUGCAACAUUUUAGGCCCAAAGUAUUAUGAACAUGUUAUACUUACAUGCUUGGGUCCCUCUAAUACAAUUUUCUAUCUCGAUCUUGCUAGGUUUUUUGUUGUUUGUUCACAUUUUUUUUUAGUACACCAACUACUGGAAUGGGUUAUUGAUAUUGAACAAUGUCGAGCAUUUUACCUAGUUGAGUUUAAUGAAUAUUUUAUUUAUGUUUGUGGUUUAUCCUUCUAAUGUUGACUAUCAUAUAUGUGUCUUAGUAGUCAUUUACAACUUUUGGUCUUGAAAUGGAGAUACCCUACAACUAGUAGAUCUGUUACCACUUUCCUAUUCUAAACUAAUGGAGCUUUGUACCUUAUGUUUGAUGCUUGUCUGUAGCUCUCAUGGACGGAGCUAUAACACCCCAAUUAGUCCCACCACAUCGGAAGUGGGCAAAGACUAAGAUUGACUUGUAAGAAUUUGAUGAGUAUACUACUGUUAGCUUCAGCUUAAGUAUUUUGAGCUAGUGGUUUAAGUUCAAUGAAGUUAAUUGACUAGCUCUCUCAUCAGGCUGGGUCGUGAGUAUUGGUAUCAUAGCCAACCUAGUAUAGGGGCACGGUGAGGGGCUCGAGUAGGAAAAGACUAUCCGUGGAUGGGUAACACGUCACAACAUGGAGCCACUUCAAAGCCAAAGAAGCAUUAUAAUUCAAUGGCUAUAAUCCUUGUGAUGCAGGUUAGCCAUCCACAUUGAAUUAUUAUCAAAUGCUAACACGUCACAACUUUAUUUAUAAUCCUUAGGCCAAUCAGAAAACGAUGCAGUUCUAUUGACUCGAAAAUAGUGUCAUUGAUGCAACCCAAAAAUGUAUUCCUUCAACAUUGUUGAACACUUCUUUCUUUACCCGUACUAUUUUUUGCAUGUACUGCCAUGUUUUGUUUUAGUAUGGAAGUUCUGUAAGUUUUGGAACCAAACACUGUGAGAGGCAAACUUUGACCCCCAAAGCAUAAUGUUGUAGAAACUAAUGCAAAAUGCCUAGUGUGAUCUUUGAGUGAAGCAUGGUAGAAGCGUAUCUAAUGUCACUUGACAUCUCUAGAAUGAUUUUUGAAACAAUAAUAAAACCUAGUCUUUGCAUGAUUUUUCUGUUUUGAAAUUUCUUAUUGUGUAUAAUUUAUUUUUACUUAGUUGGGAUGUGACCGUAAGAUUACUCCUCUGUGAACUGUGAUCAAUAAUGAGAAUUUUCUUGUAAAGUUAGGAUAAUAUACAUUUAACAUAAUCUAAUAAUAUUAGGAGUCUUGUGCAUUAGACUGAUAGUUUCAUGUUUUGUUUCUAGUCAGGAAGUGGACUUCAUCUAUGGAAUUAGAUUGAAAGGAAGCCCCCCAAGAACAGAUUUACGUAACAUCAAUUUUGUUUUUUGUUUGGGUGUGUUUCGUUUCAUUCUAUAUUGUCUAAUUAAUUGAAGGAAGGCUAUUUUUAUUUUUCAGUUUCACCCACCACAUCCAUGACGUCCCAUCGAGAAGGGCGUUUACUCCUUCCUGCGCGGGCUGCUGCUAGGGGCCGUGGCGAUGCUCGACUCGGCACUCUGGUACUCGUCGCAACGAAACUGAAGCAACUUGAUCCGGUGAGCCAAGACAAAGGACCAGGUUUGGAGGAGGGGGAUGCAACUCUUGUGGAGCAUAGUAAUGAUGGCACAGGCAGCAUUGCUGGGAUGGGUUGUGCUGUAGACCCAUUUUGGGAGCCGCAUCACCUUGGAGGGAUUCGACGGCGUGCCCUGGCAGAGGUAUUCCAUUGUGGGGACUGACACCAAUGGCGGCAUCGAGUCUAAGGGUGGUGGUGCUGGCUCUUGGUGGGGCAUUGCCACCACGUUGGUUGCCGCCAAGGUUGCCAUGAGGACAACAGCGACCAGCUCCAUAUUGGAUAUAUAUAUGGAGAGAGAAAGAGAAAUAUUUGUGAUAGAGAACUUGUGGGGAAGAGGUAAGAGGGAGAGAGUAUUAAUUCUGCACAUCCACUUAAAGCAGUGUGAUUGAGAUUGUUCUUGUUGUUUUAGUAACUGAACUGUACCCAAUGGUAACUCAAAAUAAGACGUUAUAAUUGUGACAAAUGUUAUGGUAUGGAUCUAAUGUUAAAA